UACAGAGGGUGCAAGCGUUGCUCGGAUUUACUGGGCGUAAAGCGUUCGCAGACGGAUCGGCAAGUCGGGAGUGAAAGCCCUGGGCUCAACCCAGGAACUGCUUCCGAUACUAUCGGUCUUGAGUUUGGGAGAGGGAAGCGGAAUUCCUGGUGUAGAGGUGAAAUUCGUAGAUAUCAGGAGGAACACCGGCGGCGAAGGCGGCUUCCUGGCCCAAUACUGACGUUCAGGUACGAAAGCGUGGGUAGCAAACAGG
rnacentral:rRNA from 1 species